CUGAACCCAGAAUAUUCUUUGGUUCUUCUUUUAGGGUUCUUGGGAAUGGCUCGAAGGCAGGAUGUCGUCUGUCGAGAUUUCCAGCGCGGGACCUGCCGGUUCGGUGCGCAUUGCAAAUUUCUCCACCAGCAACAGCCGGGAUUUGGGAGGCAAAAUCAGGCUGUUCAAGCACCUGUUCAAGCGCCAGAACACAGAUGCAAUGAUCCAAGAGCAUGCAAGGAGAGAAUUCGAGAUGAUUUCACGAAUGAAAGGCCGAGUUAUUGGCGCUUGACGUGCUACGCUCAUUGGAAACACCUUCCCAAUGAUAUUUCUGGAGAUACAAGCUUUGAGGAGCUGCGAGCCAUGGCUUACGAAUCUGCUCUACAAGGAAUGCCGCUCCGAGAUAUUACGAGCAGGGAAGCAUAUAUGUUUCGUGCCAAGGAGGCUGAAUUUGACGCCCUCAAGAGAGAUCCUUACAAAGGACCAGCGAGCAAAGGCUUCUCCAAUGUCCAACCUUCGCCACUAGCGUCAAGUACAAUCUUUGGCAAGCUCGUGCCAAACAACUCGCCUAUAUCUCAGAUGUUUAAGCAAGAUACCAACAUGGGAGGAUUUGGAAAUGGACCGGUUAUUUCUCCGCCUCAGCAGAUCCAACCAGCGGCUUUCAGCUUUCCAUCACCCUCCCCCUUCCCUGCUCAGUCGGUUUUUCCACAAAAUCCUCAAAGUCCAUCGCCAUUCACCGUGCAGCAGCCAUCUCCUUUCAAUCCGGUGUCAUCUUUCGGCAACAAUAAUGCAAUACAAAAUGCUUUCAGUCCUCUGCCAGCUCCAGCGAUUGUCCAAAGUCCAUUCCAGCAGCCUUCUGUUUCUCCUCCGACCGCAGCUGUUUUACCAAUAACUCCAGAAGAGACUGCGACGUGGGGCGUGGAGCAGUGGGAGCUUGGCCAGAUUCCAGAGGACGAACCGCCUGUAGCGGUCAGAUAGCAAAUUGAGCUAUCACUUUGAGAGCUCAAGGCCGAUACGUGGCCUACGAGAGUAUCGACACCGAAAGGCGCCGGAAACACACGCUGAUUCGAAAGCUUUUCACUUGUCGGAAACGCUACGGUGACAAGUUGGACGACAAGUUUGACAAAUCGUGCACAAGUGCGGAGCAAUAAAUGGA